GAAGGUUGCCUUGGGGCCACCUUGGGUUGAACACACUGGGGCCAACCAUCCACUAACUGACACACUGUCCCCUUGGAGCAGUGGACAUCACUACAGCUGGGUCUCCUGAUAGAAGUCUUUGUCUGGACACACUGAGGCCAACCAUCCACCAUUUGGCACACGGUUCCCUUCUGACACUGGACAUCACGACAGGACGGCUGGUUCUGCACGCAGUGGGGCCACCCAUCCAUCAUCCUGCAUGAUGUCCCUUUAGGACACUGUAAAUCCCUGCAGGAAGGUUGCCUUGGGGCCACCUUGACUUGGAGACACUGUGGCCAACCAUUGACCAUCUGGCACACCGUCCCCUUGGAACACUGGACAUCACUACAUGAGGGUCUCCUGAUGGAAGUCUUUGUUUGGACGCACCGUGGCCAACCAUCCACCAUUUGGCACACAGUUCCCUUCUGACAUUGGACAUCUUGACAGGAGGGCUGGUUCUGAACACAGUGGGGCAACCCGUCCGUCAUCCUACACGAUGUCCCUUUAGGACAGUGGAUGUCCCUGCAGGAAGGUUGCCUUGGGGCCACCUUGACUUGGACACACUGUGGCCAACCAUCUACCAACUGACAGAUCAUGCCUUUGGAACAGCGGACAUCACUACAAGUAGGUCUCCUGAUGGAAGUCUUUGACUGGACACACCGUGGCCAACCAUCCACCAUCUGACACUCAGUUCCCUUCUGACAUUGGACAUCACGACAGGACGGCUGGUUCUGCAUACAUUGGGGCCUCCCAUCUGUCAUCCUACAUGAUGUCCCUUUAGGACACUGCAUGUCCCUGCAGGAAGGUUGCCUUACUGUUAUCUUGGUUUGCACACAGCGUGGCCAGCCAUCCACCAUCUGACACGUGGUCCCCUUGGAGCACUGGAUGUCAUUGCAGGUGGGUUGGACAUGAACACAAAGGGGAUGUCCAUCCGUCAUCUUACAGGUGGUUCCUUUAGGACAGUGGAUGUCACUGCAGGAAGGUGUCCUUGGAGGUACCUUGAUUUGGAUGCACCGUGGCCAUCCAUCCACCAUCUGACACGUGGUCCCCUUGGAGCACUGGAUGUCACUGCAGGUGGGUUGGAUAUGAACACAAAGGGGAUGUCCAUCCAUCAUCUUACAUGUGGUUCCUUUAGGACAGUGGAUGUCACUACACGAAGGCCGCCUUGGAGGUACCUUCAGUUGGACGCACCGUGGCCAUCCAUCCACCAUUUGGCACAUGGUCCCCUUGGAGCACUGGAUGUCGCUGCAGGUGGGUUGGUUCUGGACACACUGGGGAUGCCCAUCCAUCAUCUUACACGUGGUUCCUUUAGGACAGUGGAUGUCACUGCAGGAAGGUCUCCUUGGAGCUACCUUGAGUUGGACGCACCGUGGCCAGCCAUCCACCAUUUGGCACAUGGUCCCCUUGGAGCACUGGAUGUCACUGCACGUGGGCUGGUUUUGGACACACUGGGGAAGUCCAUCCAUCAUCUUACACGCGGUCCCUUUAGGACAGUGGAUGUCACUGCAGGAAGGUCUCCUUGGAGCUACCUUGAGUUGGACGCACUGUGGCCAACCAUCCACCAUCUGACACGUGGUCCCCUUGGAGCACUGGAUGUCGCUGCAGGUAGGUUGGAUUUGGACGCACUGGGGAUGUCCAUCCAUCAUCUUACACGUGGUUCCUUUAGGACAGUGGAGGUCACUGCAGGAAGUUCUCCUUGGAGCUACCUUGAGUUGGACACACCGUGGCCAACCACCCACCAUCUGACAUGUGGUCCCCUUGGAGCACUGGAUGUCACUGCACGUGGGUUGGUUCUGGACACACUGGGGAUGUCCAUCCAUCAUCUUACACGUGGUUCCUUUAGGACAGUGGAAGUCACUGCAGGAAGGUUGCCUUGGAGGUACCUUG
rnacentral:lncRNA from 1 species